CGCCGACGACCGCCGUGCACGACUUCCUCCCGCGACGCCGCGACCCCCGAAACCUGCCGGCCACCACCGCGCCUCCACGAGUUCCCCGACGCCGCUUGGAGCCGAACCCUCUGCACAGCACUUGCUGUUCGCAAUUGGCAGUGACCCGCGAGUCCCCCACGCCGGUCUCCGCCGUUCCUCUUGUUGCCGGAGCUCUUCCACCACCGGUUUGCCCUCGCCGGAACCCUAGCCGACGAGCUCUCCUCGCCGGAACCCUUCGCCGGAGUCCCAAACCGGUGGUCAAGAUUUUCUUUUAUUAAAAAAGGAAAAAAAUCGAAUUAGGUAGAUUUGCUUUAUUUUAUUAGGCUGAAUUAUUUUAUCUUAUCUUAUUUUAUAUCUUGGUUUCUUUGUUUGAAAUAUUUCUCUAUGCAUAAUUGGAAAUCUCAAUAUGUCACUUGAUUCGCAACCACGCUGUGAUUUUUUAUUUCAUCUAUAAGGCUUUAGAUGAAAUAAUUAAUCAAGUGGGAGUAAAAUUGAUAAUUUGAUCUUUAAGGCUUAAGAUGAAUUUAUCGAUUUUAUUAGCGAAAUAUUAUCUCUUGAUCCGAAUGAUGUGCGA
rnacentral:lncRNA from 1 species